GGUAGCGUAAUCACUUGUUUUUUAAAUAAAGACCUGUAUGAAUGGUGAAACGAGGGCUUAACUGUCUCCCUCUUUUGAUCAGUGAAAUUGAUCUGCCCGUGCAGAAGCGGGCAUAAAUAUACAAGACGAGAAGACCCUAUGGAGCUUAAGACAAUAUAAUCAACUACUAUCCCUUCCCCUCUUUUUAAAGGUGUUAAACAAAGCAGGAAUUGAUUAACGUCUUCGGUUGGGGCGACCACGGGGGAAAACAAAUCCCCCAUGUGGAAUGGGGUAAACCCUAAAACCACGAGGCACACCUCUAAGUCACAGAACUUCUGACCAAAAGAUCCGGCAACUCAGCCGAUCAACGAACCAAGUUACCCUAGGGAUAACAGCGCAAUCCCCUCCAAGAGUCCAUAUCGACAAGGGGGUUUACGACCUCGAUGUUGGAUCAGGACAUCCUAAUGGUGCAGCCGCUAUUAAGGGUUCGUUUGUUCAACGAUUAA
rnacentral:rRNA from 1 species